rnacentral:rRNA from 1 species
UACGGAGGGGGCGAGCGUUGUUCGGAUUUACUGGGCGUAAAGCGUGCGUAGGUGGUUUCCUAAGUUAGAAGUGAAAGCCCAGGGCUUAACCCUGGAAUUGCUUUUAAGACUGGGUCACUAGAAUCUAGGAGAGGCAGAUGGAAUUCCGAGUGUAGAGGUGAAAUUCGUAGAUAUUCGGAGGAACACCAAUGGCGAAAGCAGUCUGCUGGACUAGUAUUGACACUGAGGCACGAAAGCGUGGGGAGCAAACAGG